rnacentral:rRNA from 1 species
AUUGAACGCUGGCGGCAUGCCUUACACAUGCAAGUCGAACGGUAACGCGGGGCAACCUGGCGACGAGUGGCGAACGGGUGAGUAAUAUAUCGGAACGUGCCCAGUAGUGGGGGAUAGCCCGGCGAAAGCCGGAUUAAUACCGCAUACGACCCAAGGGUGAAAGCGGGGGAUCGCAAGACCUCGCGCUAUUGGAGCGGCCGAUAUCAGAUUAGCUAGUUGGUGGGGUAAAAGCCUACCAAGGCGACGAUCUGUAGCUGGUCUGAGAGGACGACCAGCCACACUGGGACUGAGACACGGCCCAGACUCCUACGGGAGGCAGCAGUGGGGAAUUUUGGACAAUGGACGCAAGUCUGAUCCGGCCAUGCCGCGUGCGGGAAGAAGGCCUUCGGGUUGUAAACCGCUUUUGUCAGGGAAGAAAUCCUUUGGGUUAAUACCUCGGAGGGAUGACGGUACCUGAAGAAUAAGCACCGGCUAACUACGUGCCAGCAGCCGCCGUAA